GAAACACAGAGAAUAUUGUCACCACCAAUGACCAAGCAGGUGCUCAAGAAGGACAGCAAUUAUAGUUGAAUCUCUUUUUUUUUUUAACUUAGCCAUUUCAUGGACCACUAGAGCUGGAAGAUAUCUUAGAGAUCAUCUUUUAAAUCCUGCAUUUUGUAGGAAAUGGAGACCGGGAGAAGAGGUAUGACAUGAUCCCAGGGCACACAGGAUGUGGUACAAUGACUGUCUGAGUGCCCUGCGAGCCCAAAUGAGAGUUCUCAGCUUUGCCUUCUUACCCUCUGUGUGAUGGAGGCUUAGGAAAUUUUUCAUUCUUUAGAGAUGAGAAAAAUGAACUAACAGAAAAGAGCUAAAUACAUGAAAACAAAGAGCGGACUUAUCAAAAUAAUAAAAUAAAAGGUAUGAGAAGAAGAAAGCUAGUCCAGCUGUGUACUUACCCCAAGAAUCUGGCUGAAUAAAAAGGCAUAC
rnacentral:lncRNA from 1 species